CUUCUUUGUCUGAAAACUCUGAGGUGAAAGAUGCUACUUGAGCCGUAUGUUUUGUUCCAGCACAAACCCAAUUAUGCUAUACUUGCUUAUAUCUGAACAUAUUGGUUUAUCUUACAUAGAGUUUAAUUGAUGCAAACUUGAACUUCAGUAUGUUAGAUUUUCCGAGAAAACACCAUCCCUGUGAUUUAGAUGGCUAUGUUUUUCUUUGAACAAAGCAAAGAGGAGCAAGGCAAUUACACCUCACCUCUGUUUAUUUCUUCUCUAUUCACCAACCAUUACAAAAAUAGUGUUUAACCUCUUGUCAGAUUACCUCUCAGUGUCCUUUACUGUCCAAUUGCAACAUUUCUCUGGGAGCCAACAUCUGCAUCCCUGGACAGAUCAACUAGUGUGCAAAGUCCAUGUUAGCUGAUCAAGCAUGGCUUUGUUUGCGCUUAUUCACUGCGCAUCCAGCACUGCGUAAGUGGUUUUGCAUAUUAACUAAGUGCUCAGUAACCUUCCGUUCCCUCCUCAGAGCUCCACCCCCUCCCGCCCGGCCUCCUCGGGAAAUCAACACUGUUACUCACUGAGGAAGCUGCCAAGAGGUUGCCAUGGCAACUGUUCUGCUUUCAGCAGCUACUUUUCUGGUUUGAAGGUGGGGCUGGGGGCUAGGGGAGGGGAGAAUAAAAAAAAAAACCAAACCAAACCUGAAGAGAACCAAGCAGCUUUCUGAUCAGAGUUCAGAUAAAGAGGGUCCCAGUCACUUGUGGGCACUGCCUACAAUAACCCAGUGGAUUUGACAGUGACAGCAAAAGCAGCAAAUAGACAAACUCAAAACACUGGAAUGAAUAAAGCAGACUCUCUAGCAGGAAAACAAUGAUUAUAGCAAGUGGACUUCGCUUUAGUCCCAUAAGAAGACCUGAAUGGGUAUCUUUUUAAAGUGGAAACAAUCUCAAGUUGAAUGGAGAAAAAUGAUACAGAAAAAUAUUUUUAAAGAUAGAGGGAAAUUUUGAAGAGGGGGUCCAUGAAUAUAAAUACAUGGCAUCCUAUUUGAUAAUAAAGAAAUGCUUAUUUAAUCAGAUAGUCUAUUUGCAUUUCCUGACUAGUAUUAUUUGAUUCAUCACAGCAUAAUGAGAGCAGGGUUCUCAAAGGUGACCUCUAGGUUUGAAGGUCAAAGGGAGUGUAUAUAGACCUAAGAAUCAAGAAGAGAUAUAUAAAAUUGAUACCCAAGGGGGAGGGCAGGGGCAGACAUAUGACUCUUCCUUCAUUUCUCUUUAAGAUUCUCCCUAAACUGGUUUCAUUUCACAGAGAAAGGCAACCAUCAUAUUGCCUCUACUUUCUAAAGAAAUCACUGCAAGUGCAAUUUUUUUCCAUAAAAGUCAUCUUUGCAUUUUGAGAUUCAUUUCUUAUUUGCCAUCUAAUAAUAAAAUUAAAGGAAACUGAACUGAAAGAUUUUGAUAGCCCACCCAACAAAGAAAAGUAUUUUCCAGAAUUAGCUGUGGAAACUGAUUUUAGGAAGGUGAAUGGUUAGGUCUGGAUGUGGGGAUGGGACUGGGAAAAACAGGGCGGGCUUCAAGCCUCACCGCUCUCACCCAUGCAGGUGCACUUGUGGGACUGACACUGACAAAUAGGGAACUUCCUGGGAUGUCCUUUGGCUCAAGACAGAGAUAAAACAAAUGUUUUCUGGGUGAGAACGUUUCCAUCACAUUCUGAUAUAUUGAAGGUUCACUACUACAUUUCUAGGUGUCUAGCUUCUGAAAAUGAAACAAAACAAAACACCAUGUCCUAAAAGUUGGCUAAGUCCGCUGGAUUUUUAAAAACUUUGGAACUUGCAUGUCUUUAAUUUUUCUGUAGAAUUCUACAAUGAGGAAGAGCACAUGUAGGAAAGUAGUUCCAGAGAGCUAAGAGCUCUCGAAGCUAUGACAGCUCCCUGACUCCUUUUGCAGCUAACAAGGCAAACUCAGAAAACCCCCUAAAUGGAAAUCCUGUCCUCCAAGUCACCAGCACCACACACUGUGCAAGGAAGGCCACCCCAAAUCAAUCAGUGCCAUAAUUUCCAUGCUGACAGUUCCCAAUCCAGCAUUUUGUUAUUAUUUCCUUCAAAUCCCCAGAAUUCUUCCCAUGUGCUGUCAUGUCUCUAGAUAACGGUGCAUGGAGAUUAAAUGUGAGUUUAAAUGAACUUUUACAUGCCUCUCUAUUUUCUUCUUGGAUUUUGUUCUUUUGAGGGACAAGUGAUGAAAGGUUAUUCCCUGCAAGAUUUAGCCAGUUAAACGUGCAGUAUCAAAAUCUGAAGCCUUGCAGUCAGGCACAGAAAGAGCAAAGGGGAAAAAUGGGAAAAUGUUCCAUUGGGGCUGCAGCUUUUCAGAGUAUGCAGGAAUGAUGUCAUUUGUUUUCACAGAACCCAGUUUAAAUUUGUUCCUGCCUUUGGAGAACUGCAGCAGAGUGCAUCUGUGGAGACUUCCUGCAUCCCAUAUUUCAGGACCUCAGAGUGUUUGCUGCAUCAAAAUCCAACCAAUCGCAGUGUGUAGUCUUACCCUCCCCAAUUUUCAUUUAUCCCACCCCCGCCCCGCCCGACCUGAAACAAGUGUGCGCUGCCCGCUUUAGAUCACCGCUCAGCCUCCUCCAGCCCCGUUAGAACCCGCAGAGGCAUCAGACCGUGCCUGGAAUGGUUUAAAGCAGAACAAUGCCAACAUAAAAAACUUCCUUUAGGUCACCCACACGCAUUCGUUUCACUGACAAAUAACCUCCAAGAAAAGAUCUGUUUGUGAAGUCUGUUUUGGUUUUGGUUUGGUUUGUUUGAAAUGAAAUCUUAGCCUUUUGUUUUGGCAGCCCCUGCCUGAGUACCGGAACCAUCACAGGAGGUGAGGAAACAAAUCCUGGGCUGGUCUUGGACUUUUCAGGGGCAGAAGCCAGAUCUUCAAAUUCACUACUAACAAUUAUCUUUGUACAGAGCACGCCCCUUUGUGCAUAUAUAGGAUAUUCAUUGGACGGCAAUGAGGAAACUCACGGCGUGAAUGAAAGGCUGAAGAAACUGACUGCCAGGACAGCAUGGGCCGUGCCAUUCUGGGCGUCUCUACAGCGGGAACGACUUGGGAGACUGAGUCAGGGCACUGAUGAGAGAUUGCACCCUCUCCCAGAGCCCCCCUCCCCUUCAGCCCUUCGCUCAUCUCCUUAUUCUGCUCAGGGGGCAAAGUUCCAGGUGAGAAGAUCCCAUUGGAGGAGGCAUGCCACCUCCUGGAUUGGAAGAAGCAGGGGGCCCUAAUUUACACAAAGGAGCAGGAGAAAUUCUCCCAAAGGAGGUAGGGGUGAGGUUUCUAAAAGAAUGAAAUUGUGCCACUUGCAGCAACAUGGAUGGAUCUAGAGAUCAUCACACUAAGUGAAGUGAGACAAAGACAGAUACCCUAUGAUGUCACGUAUAUGUGGAAUCUA